rnacentral:rRNA from 1 species
GAUUAACGCUGGCGGCGUGCAUAACACAUGCAAGUCGAACGAUGAAACUUAGUAGACUUCUUCGGAAAGACACUAAGCGGAUUAGUGGCGAACGGGUGAGUAACGCGUGAGUAACCUGCCUUACACAAGGGGAUAGCCUUUGGAAACGAAGAAUAAUACCCUAUAAAACCAUAAAAGCAAAUGCAAUUAUGGUCAAAGUGAUAGCGGUGUAAGAUGGACUUGCGUCUGAUUAGCUAGUUGGUGAGAUAAAAGCUCACCAAGGCAACGAUCAGUAGCCGGCUUGAGAGAGUGUACGGCCACAUUGGGACUGAGACACGGCCCAGACUCCUACGGGAGGCAGCAGUGGGGAAUUUUGCACAAUGGGGGAAACCCUGAUGCAGCGACGCCGCGUGAUUUAGAAGGCCUUCGGGUUGUAAAAAUCUUUUGUAUAGGAAGAAAAUGACAGUACUAUACGAAUAAGGUCCGGCUAAUUACGUGCCAGCAGCCGCGGUAAUACGUAAGGACCGAGCGUUGUCCGGAAUCAUUGGGCGUAAAGGGUACGUAGGCGGCUAGAAAAGUUAGAAGUCAAAGGCUAUAGCUCAACUAUAGUAAGCUUCUAAAACUAUUUAGCUUGAGAAAUGGAAGGGAAAGUGGAAUUCCUAGUGUAGCGGUGGAAUGCGCAGAUAUUAGGAAGAAUACCGGUGGCGAAGGCGACUUUCUGGCCAUUAUCUGACGCUGAGGUACGAAAGCGUGGGUAGCAAACAGG